GCUGAGUCUGACCCUGACCCUGCCUUGGUGCCGCCACCUGAGCAGUGACAGUUCGCUGCCCCUCCCCCCACCCAACGGGGGCGGGUGGGCACCGUCUCUCGCCUUGAGCCUCCAUGUGUUCCCGUACCAGCCCGACAGGCGCGUUAUCCCCCGCGGCACCCCCUGAGUUGGGACACUUAAAAACGACCCCCAAGAAGGAUGAACAAAAAAGCCUUCUAGCCGGGAAGGCACCGGUGGGCUGAUCAAAAUCACACCGUUGCUUAGAUCUGUUACAGCAUCUUGAUAUUUGGGGGAGGGGAGGCAGGGAGGAGAAGACAUUGUAUUUAAGAGUUGUGUGUGUUAAGCAUUAAGCUUAAGAGUUGUGUGUUAUGCUGUUUUGAUGGCCCCUCCCUCCCCGUUGCUGUGGUAUGUAGGUGUCAUCUAAAUGAACAUCUCUGUUCCUUCCCAAAAGAGCCUAAUAUUUUUUGUUAUUGGCUGCUGUUUUGUUUUGCCCCAUUCUUAACUUUGUCUCCAAGAUGGAUGCUGCUGGCCUGUCUCUAUUUUCUCUUUUAGAGGGAAGGUGUAAGAAUCAUCCUGCUGUCAACUAGUAGAUCCUUUUCAGCAGUACAUUUGCCUAGCCUAGUGGUCCCCAAACUACAGGUCAUACUGUCCUUGGGGGAGCAUGGAGGAACACUUGGUUAUGAACUGGGGACUGGUCAACCACACAGCUGAUUUGGAACCCGAAGUACGCAAUCAGGAACUUUGUAUGCACUUGGGUGUAAACUGAAGACACUGAGAAUUAGACAAACAACUGACAGAAGAUCAUACUUCUCUCAAGGAAAAUUCUGACUAAUUUAUCCUUUAUUAAAUUGCUAAAUAGUGGCUAAGGAAUGAGUUGCGUAUCCAGUCUGAUUAGUUUUUGCUGCCUUACUUCUUCAAUACUGAACUUUGAGAAGGUAAACAUUGAGAGUGCUAACAUGUUGGAUGACUAUCUUUAGCUAGUUGUGAGAAAACCUUCUUGUAGGCAAACAUACUUUUUCGCUUCUGUGGUACCUCUAAUUAGAUCGGGGUGGCCAAACUUACUGGCCCUCCGAGCUACAUAUGGCAAUCUACAGAAGUUCGAGAGCUGGAGCACACCUGCCGGGGGUUGGGUCGUGGCCCCACUCCUGCUGAAGCUCCGAGCCCUGGCAGGUGUGCCCCACAGGGCGGAAUCCCGAAGACCUUCCUACCCACUAGGCAGAAGCCCCGCUCGCAUCAUUCUGCUGUAAGGGCAGAGUUCUUGAGCUCCUCUUCCACCCAGCCUGGUAGGUGGAGAAUAGGGGUUUAUGGGGGGCUCCACAAGCUGCACUUUAAUAGUAAAAGAGCCGCAUGUGGCUCAUGAGCCACAGUUUGGCCACCCCUGAAUUAGAUGAUCACUAAGUGCUAUGAAAACAUUAAUUUCAGCCUAAAAUCUGUGUGCACAUUGCUGCAGAGAUUUGCAGACACAUGACCUAACAGCUCUCACUUGUGCCUACAAAAUAGGUGUGUAGUUCUGACAUGAAAAAAAUGGCCUCAAAUCUCUACACACUGAGAGUGAACGGAACAUUAUUCUCCUUUUCCAAGUUAGUCAGUAGGCUUAAAGGUCGUGGCUAGCUCAAGGACAUUAGUAAGCAACAGUCAUUGGUAUACUGAAAAAGAGAAUGCAGGCAAAGUGGCUCCCAGUGCUAUGCUCUAAUCCAGGGGUUCUCAAACUUUCAUUGUG